UUGAAUAAUAUAGGUUAUAAUGUUUUCAGGUGAUAAGCAUUCAACAUUUAUUUCACUGAGUUUUUAAGAAUGUCUAAGUCACUACUGACAACGAUUCUAUGUAUUGGUUAUAUUUGCAUAGUGACUUCUGAUGUUUCCCCGUAUUACAGAAAUUACUGCGAGACUAACGACGACUGUGUCGAUCCAUCAUUAUGUUGUUCAAUAGCACCGUUGAUUGUUGGUAAACGUUUAUUAGACAGUCACUUAGAUGAACACUAUAACCUGCACCACUGCAUGCCAUACUUCAAUGAAAAUUCAACAGUGUGUCAUCUUCGGUUACAGUCCUCACCAGAAAAAAACAAAUUAUCAUUAUAUCGUUAAUGUAUGCCCAUGCGCACCUGGACUGAAAUGUACACCUUCAGCAGACCCACUAAUACAGUUAUCUAAAGGCCUUUUUGGGAGAUGUACAAAGACAAAUCCUUAGGUUUCCUAAAUUAAAUUUUAUCAAGUUUU